AUGGUAGGCAGUUUGACUGGGGCGGUCUCCUCCCAAAGAGUAACGGAGGAGUACGAAGGUAUCCUAGGUACGGUCGGACAUCGUACUGAUAGUGCAAUGGCAAAAGGAUGCUUGACUGCGAGACUGACAAGUCGAGCAGGUGCGAAAGCAGGUCAUAGUGAUCCGGUGGUUCUGUAUGGAAGGGCCAUCGCUCAACGGAUAAAAGGUACGCUGGGGAUAACAGGCUGAUUCCUCCCAAGAGUUCAUAUCGACGGGGGAGUUUGGCACCUCGAUGUCGGCUCAUCACAUCCUGGGGCUGUAGUCGGUCCCAAGGGUAUGGCUGUUCGCCAUUUAAAGUGGUACGUGAGCUGGGUUUAAAACGUCGUGAGACAGUUUGGUCCCUAUCUGCCGUGGGCGCUGGAAAUUUGAAGGGACCUGCUCCUAGUACGAGAGGACCGGAGUGGACGGAUCUCUGGUGUACCGGUUAUGACGCCAGUCGUAUUGCCGGGUAGCUAAAUCCGGAAGAGAUAACCGCUGAAAGCAUCUAAGCGGGAAACUCGCCUUAAGAUGAGAUUUCCCUGGGGACUUGAUCCCCCUGAAGGGUCGUGGAAGACCACCACGUUGAUAGGUCAGGUGUGGAAGCGCAGUAAUGCGUUAAGCUAACUGAUACUAAUUGCCCGUGAGGCUUGACCCU
rnacentral:rRNA from 1 species